GGGAUUGUGGCUUAGUGGUAGAGCACUUACCUGGCAAGUGUGAGGCGCUGGGUCUGAUCCCA
rnacentral:tRNA from 1 species